rnacentral:rRNA from 1 species
UACGAAGGGGGCUAGCGUUGUUCGGAAUCACUGGGCGUAAAGGGCGCGUAGGCGGCUGUUCAAGUCGGGGGUGAAAUCCCGUGGCUCAACCACGGAAUGGCCUUCGAUACUGGACGGCUAGAGACCGGAAGAGGUGAGUGGAACUGCGAGUGUAGAGGUGAAAUUCGUAGAUAUUCGCAAGAACACCAGUGGCGAAGGCGGCUCACUGGUCCGGUUCUGACGCUGAGGCGCGAAAGCGUGGGGAGCAAAGCAGG